UCUGCAACACGUUAGGGCACAUUGUGCCUAUGUGUGUGGCCACUUCUGGUGUCAAAGGAAUAUAUAAAAUAGCUCAUUUUUCAAAAUCUAUGUCCUGGAGCCAUUAUUCUGCUUCUGACCUACAGUCUGGGAAUGGCUGAUUUGGCUGCAGUGAAGUUUUCACUCUUAUUUUACAGCUCCUGGAAGAAGGCCAGGCACUGGAGAGAGCCAGCAGGAGUAUGAGCUACUGCCGUGUGUUGGGACAGCCUGAAAAUGAAUGUCAUUUAUUCUCAGCUUUGAGAACUGAAUUCCAUGGGUUGUAAUUGAAUCUGCUGUCAGACCCAUGGGGCUCAGUUCUUCAGCUUGGAUAUUUCUGUCUUCACAUACACAGGAGAUCAAAGAAGCACUUGAUCAUUCUCUACCUCUUCUGGUGAUAGCAGCAAGCAGGAGAGGAAGCACGAGUGAUGUGAAUCAUUUCAGCAGGGAGGGGUCACUGCAAAGGCUCUCUCAGGAUAAAUAGCUGUGCAGUGAUUGAAUCUCUGUGAUCUCACAGGCUCUGUGCUGCUACCCACUGUUUGAUUAGCUUGAUUCUUUCCUCUCAUUGUUAUCAAGGCUACAUCUGAAUCCCUGAGAUGGUGUAGAUUGGAUGAUGUCCCCAAACCCUGCUGAGUGGAACAUUCUCCUGUGGUGAGCUCCUUUAGACUGUGGAAACCGGGACCUCCCUUGGGCUGAGCACUAAAUUUGCCAACUGAUAAUCCACUACCCUGCUUUCUUGGUACCACUACUGUGCAGUUAUUGCCUCAUUUGCUUUGUCCUGUGCCAAAUACCCAUUUUUGACAGAAGCUGUGACCAUAAAGUUUAUUCAUUUGCCCCAGCCAACCAGCCCACUUAUAUAAACAGAGAUUUCCUUUCCUGAGGUUAGUGAUGUGCUCCCAAAGUGUUUGGUUUAGGGAGUUUCCAGUGUAAUUAGUGAUGGCAAUGUAAGUGCUGUUUGAAGGCGUGGUAGCACAAACUUCCCUCUGUAGGGGAAUUCAUUCAAGUCACAGGUUGAUGUUUUUUCUUGCAGGACCUCUGUUAAAAGUUUUCAUUUUUCAUUCCAGGGAUCAGGAAAAGUAAUUGUCGUCUUUAAGCAUGUGAAGAGUUACAAUUAGCAACAAGCUUCCCACCUCUUUCCUGCAAUAAUAACACCUAAAUUACAUUUUUCCAACUCAGUAAAGUGGAUCAUAACUGAUCUUAUCCCUGUGUUACAAAGCUCUUAAAAUCAUAGAAAUGCUAAAAUCCUGCAGGUGCAGGAAGAGCAUGUUUAGCUAAGUAGCUUAAAAUUGCUGUGUGCCUUUCAUUCUGAAUAUGUAUUUGCACACAAAAAAAUCAGAUAUUAAUCACUGUUGCCUGUGGAUACAGAUGUACCUUCAUACUGAUGUAUUUUUCAUAUAAAUUUUUAUCCUAGGGGUUGAAGAGUUUCAAUUGCAGCUGUCUGAGAUGUAUUGUUCUCACCAGUUUAGAAAUUACAGUUCUUGAAAGAGCUCACUGGUUCCACCAGCUCCUGCUGUGUGAAUAUCCAUUAAACAGGAUGGAGAAACUGAGCAAAGGACAAUACUGAGAUUUUUACUUUUUAUUUUCCUCUAUCAUCCCUGCCAGGAAGAGGAAAUGAAAUUUGAGGUCAGAGUUGGCAAAAUCUUCAAAAGAAGAGAGAUCAAUGGAACAAUUUACAGUAUGCCUGAUGCAGGCAGUGUGGUGGAUAUUAGGUGCUGCAGAGCUUCAUCCUCUUCCUUCACUGUGCAGCCCAGCCUGGGGGCAGUGAUGCAGCACAGAAGGUGAUGUGUGCAUGGCAACAAGGCCAUGGAUGAAAUCAAGCACUACAGAAGUCUUUGGAGUCCCACCUAUGUGACAAAAGUGGUGAAAAUGCCGAGUUUGUGCUGGGUUCAGCAAUCCUGGUGUCUGCACAGCUGAGAGAAAUCACUUCACUGUGAGAGUGAGUGUGCCUCUGCAGCUUUGACAAGCCUCUCACCUGCCCUGGGGAAGGAGCAGCAGGGCUGGAAAGCUGUGAAGUCACAAUAUGCUGACUAAGAAUAAUUUUGGAUCAAACAAGCAUCAUUGGGAAAGGAAGUUUCAUUUCAAGAUGUGGAAGGAAUUUUAAAUCACAUUUGAAAUAAAAUUACCUUGUCCAGA